GUGAGGAAUAUUGCGCAAUGGAGGCAACUCUGACGCAGCCAUGCCGCGUGCAGGAAGAAGGCGCUACGCGUUGUAAACUGCUUUUAACCGGGAAGAAACCCCAGGACGUGUCCUGGGUUGACGGUACCGGCGGAAUAAGCACCGGCUAACUUCGUGCCAGCAGCCGCGGUAAUACGAAGGGUGCAAGCGUUAUCCGGAUUCAUUGGGUUUAAAGGGUGCGUAGGCGGAGCGUUAAGUCAGUGGUGAAAUCCUGCAGCUUAACUGUAGACUUGCCAUUGAUACUGGCGCUCUUGAGUGCGCUUGAAGUGGGCGGAAUGUGCCGUGUAGCGGUGAAAUGCUUAGAUAUGGCACAGAACACCAAUUGCGAAGGCAGCUCACUAAGGCGAUACUGACGCUGAGGCACGAAAGCGUGGGGAUCGAACAGGAUUAGAAACCCCAGUAGUCC
rnacentral:rRNA from 1 species